rnacentral:tRNA from 1 species
UCAGUGGUGGUUCAGUGGUAGAAUUCUCACCUUGUGAGCAGGAGACCUGGGUUUGAUUCCCACCCAGUGCA